CAAAAAAUUUGAUUCAACAGCUUCCUUAGUAUACUAGCACGUUCUAUGCACAAAAGUAAAAGAGUAUUUUUCUUCAUUCUGUUACGUUUUAGAGACGAAAGAUGAGAAAAGAGAAUCGAUUCAGAAAGAAAAGACAUGCGGUGGCGCCUAUCGUGUCGACGCGACGAAAUAAUCGGUGAGCAAAGGCGCCCAUCGUAACGCUACGGGACUGUCAAGCUCGCUGAUCAAUACAAGCAAGGCGACGUGCAAGGCCGCCCGCGUGGAUUCAACUCGCGGGUCCGCCACAUUCCCUCGUUCCAUUCUGCCAUACGCGUCUCUAUUCGUAUCCCUUUUCUCCCACGAUAUCGUUUCACGCAGCCUCUUUCUCUCGCUUCGCCUUUUUUUUCCCCCUUUUCUUUAUUCCGCCUUUAUCCUCUCCCACCCUAGCCUAGAUUCUCCAUAUGUUUUCUCCUUUUUACUAGUGAUCACAAUUUAUCUGAAAUUUGACAGGUGUGUAACUCUUGGACCAUUUGACAAUAAUUUGUGCUGGAUUAAUGGAUUGUAAGAUGUGAUCGAGACAUCACUUUUCUGUGAAUUCAAAAGCCCAUAUUAUUUUGACUAUACGGUUUUCAUCUUUGUUUCAAAGGUGUCGCUGCAAUUCUUGUAAACAAAUAAAACAUUCGAUUUCUCUCUCGAUGAAUCAAUCACACUAAAAAUCUGAGCUUUCGAAUCGUAUUAAAAAUCUAAGCUAACUACAAACCAUAUAGACCAACAGAUCGGCGAGAACAAAAACGUACGGGACAAUGAAAGAACUAUGGACGAAGUAUCGAGGCAACCUUCAGCCGAUUACAAUUUGCAAUGCAACUGAUCGCAAUCUUUAUGGUACGAGUCGAAAACAUACAGAGUUGCACAUCGAAUUAUUGAUCGUGCUACCAGAGGCGAACAAUACCCGAACGUGAACCACAAUCGGUAAAUAAAUGACGAGUUUGGGUUAAAUUUAGAGACAAUCUUUAAGCAUCAAUCACAAGACGUUGAAGGAUUGUUCCUUGAAGGAUUUGAAUUCUAGCUUCGUUAUUAUGAUCUGAAGAACUGCAGGACUUUUGUUUUUUGUAAUACAACAUUCAUUCACUGUGUUUAUACAUUGGUAAGCGUUAAGUAGUAAAAAUCUGACUUUUAGAUAAAUCGUGGACAUUCACUUUAGGUAUAUAGUUAUUCAUAUCUGAGAAUAUUUCCCUAGACAUAAAAAAGAUAAAUUAAACUGGGGAAAUGAGGAACGAGUGAGAGGAAAAUUAAAUCGAAAUUAAAACGCAACAAUUGUUUAUUAAUGUUCCUACGUAAUUACUGAUUUUAGUUGACUGAGAAAAUUAUUAUCUUCUUCCAAUUAACGAGUAACGGUGAACCGAGAAUUGUGACAUAACUAAAUAUGAUGCGUAUAAAAGAAUUUGUUACUAUUACUAAUGAUUCUUCGUUUGAUGUAGAAAUUUUCUUCACGGCGUAAUAACAAAAUAUUUAUUUUAUCGUAAUUUAGGAGGUACAACUUUUUAUUAAUAAAAUGUGUAAAAUUAUUAAACAAUUACA